rnacentral:misc_RNA from 1 species
GUAGGUGAACCUGCGGAAGGAUCAUUAUCAAUUAUUGCUGCUUUUAAUUAAGUAGUUUAAUUUUUGUGCACUGUUUUUUUUUUUUUUUCUUCUUGUAUUCUUUUUUUAAUUUUUUAUUUUGAGUGAGUAAAUCGUUAAGCUUGGCUUAGCGUUCAACUCACUUGUAAAGAAAUGGAAUAAAAAAAAAAGGUACUUGGUUUAAAAAAAAAAAGAAAAAUUGAUUUUCUUUAUAUUAUUUUUCUUUACUUAGUUGUAACGUUAACUCGUUAUAAAUAAUUAAAUAAAAAGACAACUUUCAGCAAUGGAUCUCUUGGCUCUU